rnacentral:rRNA from 1 species
GACGAACGCUGGCGGCGUGCUUAGCACAUGCAAGUCGAACGGAAAGGCCCUGCUUUUGUGGGGUGCUCGAGUGGCGAACGGGUGAGUAACACGUGAGUAACCUGCCCUUGACUUUGGGAUAACUUCAGGAAACUGGGGCUAAUACCGGAUAGGAGCUCCUGCUGCAUGGUGGGGGUUGGAAAGUUUCGGCGGUUGGGGAUGGACUCGCGGCUUAUCAGCUUGUUGGUGGGGUAGUGGCUUACCAAGGCUUUGGCGGGUAGCCGGCCUGAGAGGGUGACCGGCCACAUUGGUACUGAGAUACGGCCCAGACUCCUACGGGAGGCAGCAGUGGGGAAUAUUGCACAAUGGGCGGAAGCCUGAUGCAGCAACGCCGCGUGCGGGAUGACGGCCUUCGGGUUGUAAACCGCUUUCGCCUGUGACGAAGCGUGAGUGACGGUAAUGGGUAAAGAAGCACCGGCUAACUACGUG